rnacentral:rRNA from 1 species
AUGAACGCUGGCGGCGUGCUUAACACAUGCAAGUCGAACGAAGCACCUCUAAUCGAAGAUUGAGAAAGCUUGCUUUGAUUGAUUCACCUUGAGGUGACUGAGUGGCGGACGGGUGAGUAACGCGUGGGUAACCUACCCUAUACAGGGGGAUAACAGUUGGAAACGACUGCUAAUACCGCAUAAGCGCACAGGACCGCAUGGUCUAGUGUGAAAAACUCCGGUGGUAUAGGAUGGACCCCGCGUCUGAUUAGCUAGUUGGUGAGGUAACGGCUCACCAAGGCGACGAUCAGUAGCCGACCUGAGAGGGUGACCGGCCACAUUGGGACUGAGACACGGCCCAAACUCCUACGGGAGGCAGCAGUGGGGAAUAUUGCACAAUGGGCGAAAGCCUGAUGCAAGCGACGCCGCGUGAACGAAGAAGUACUUCGGUAUGUAAAGUUCUAUCAGCAGGGAAGAAAAAUGACGGUACCUGACUAAGAAGCUCCGGCUAAAUACGUGCCAGCAGCAGC